GAUGAAGAACGCAGCGAAAUGCGAUAAGUAAUGUGAAUUGCAGAAUUCAGUGAAUCAUCGAAUCUUUGAACGCACAUUGCGCCCGCCAGUAUUCUGGCGGGCAUGCCUGUCUGAGCGUCAUUUCAACCCUCAUGCCCCUAGGGCGUGGUGUUGGGGAUCGGCCAAAGCCCGCGAGGGACGGCCGGCCCCUAAAUCUAGUGGCGGACCCGUCGUGGCCUCCUCUGCGAAGUAGUGAUAUUCCGCAUCGGAGAGCGAUGAGCCCCUGCCGUUAAACCCCCAACUUUCCAAGGUUGACCUCAGAUCAGGAAGGAAUACCCGCUGAACUUAAGCAUAUCAAUAAGCGGAGGA
rnacentral:misc_RNA from 1 species